CCCGGCGGGAAAAAGUUAAGACAGGUGGGCGCAUGGCUCUCGUCAGCUCGUGUCGUGAGAUGGUGGGAUAAGUCCCGCAACGAGCGCAACCCCUAAUGGUAGGUCGCUACGCAAGAGCAUUCUAGCAAGACUGCCGUCGACAAAAACGGAGGAAGGUGGGGGAUGACGUCAAAAUCAUCAUGCCCGUUUAGGACGUGGGCUACACACGUACUACAAUGGCGGUCAACAAAGGGGAGCGAAGGAGUGAUCCGGAGCAAAUCCCCAAAAAGCCGUCUCAGUUCAGAUUGCAGGCUGCAACUCGCCUGCAUGAAGUCGGAAUUGCUAGUAAUCGUGAAUCAGCAUGUCACGGUGAAUACGUUCCCGGGCCUUGUACACACCGCCCGUCAAGCCAUGAAAGUCGGGAAUACCCGAAGUCUGUUGUUGAACCGCAAGGAGGCGCAGCCGAAGGUAGGCUCGAUGAUGGGGUUAAGUCGUAACAAGGUAACCUAAUCUA
rnacentral:rRNA from 1 species